rnacentral:rRNA from 1 species
AUGGGUUCAGUGAGAUGCCCGUAUUACAUUAUGCGUUCUCUCCAUAACUUUGACCCCUCGGUCAAACCGUCUGCCACCCCUGUCGUUCUCCUACUACAAUGCAUUGAAAAUAACCAAUGUUGUGUUGUACCAGAUGCUAGCAAGCAACCCAACAGUGGCUCCAUUGUUCCUCUGCUUCACCCCUGCCGCCUCCAUGGUAUUUUCACUUUUUUCAGGCUUGCAAAUACGCCGGUGGCCGAAAAACAAUACUUACAGUACAAGCAGCGGCACUUGGGUCUACUGUUUCUGGAUGCUGAUUCCGCGCUUUGGGUCCGUAUCUGUGCGUGGCCUCGCUCGCUGGAGCCCAGGAGGAACCGAGGAAGGAAGCAAUCAUUCUGCACGGCCGGCUAG